UCCUGGCUCAGGAUGAACGCUAGCUACAGGCUUAACACAUGCAAGUCGAGGGGCAGCAUGUGGUGCUGCAACCGAUGAUGGCGACCGGCGCACGGGUGAGUAACGCGUAUCCAACCUUCCCUAUAGUAGAGGAUAGCCCGGCGAAAGUCGGAUUAAUACUCUAUGUUGUUCAAUGCAGACAUCUAAGUUGAAUCAAAGGUUCACCGCUAUAGGAUGGGGGAUGCGUCUGAUUAGGUAGUCGGCGGGGUAACGGCCCACCGAGCCAUCGAUCAGUAGGGGUUCUGAGAGGAAGGUCCCCCACAUUGGAACUGAGACACGGUCCAAACUCCUACGGGAGGCAGCAGUGAGGAAUAUUGGUCAAUGGGCGAGAGCCUGAACCAGCCAAGUAGCGUGCAGGAUGACGGCCCUAUGGGUUGUAAACUGCUUUUAUACAGGGAUAAAGUCGGGGACGUGUCCCCGUUUGUAGGUCCUGUAUGAAUAAGGACCGGCUAAUUCCGUGCCAGCAGCCGC
rnacentral:rRNA from 1 species